CAAUAGCGUAUAUUAAAGUUGUUGCAGUUAGAACGCUCGUAGUCGGAUUUCGGGGCGGGCCGACCGGUCUGCCGAUGGGUACGCACUGGUCGGCGCGUCCUUCCUUCCGGAGACCGUGCCUACUCUUAACUGAGCGGGGGCGGGAGACGGAACGUUUACUUUGAAAAAAUCAGAGUGUUUCAAGCAGGCAGUGCACUCUUGCAUGGAUUAGCAUGGGAUAAUGAAAUAGGACUUUGGUGCUAUUUUGUUGGUUUCGAACACCGAAGUAAUGAUUAAAAGGGACAGUCAGGGGCACUCGUAUUCCGCCGAGAGAGGUGAAAUUCUCAGACCAGCGGAAGACGAACCACUGCGAAAGCAUUUGCCAGGGAUGUUUUCACUGA
rnacentral:rRNA from 1 species